UUUUUUUUUUCUUUUUCAUUUGCACAGCUGACAGUGAGAGGGAGGAAGAAAAACCUCAUCUCUUUUGUGUUCUCUUGUUUAGAGUUUGACUUGGAGGGGGUAAGAGCAUACAAGAUUGGGUAAAAUUAAGGAGGACCGGAAUAUAAUUGAGGUGUGCAUUUGGUAGCAUUGCAACUGGUACAAGGCUCGCACAUUAGGCAAUCAGGUGCGUGCCUAAGUGAUGUUGCCUACCUUAUGCUAUUAGCGGGGCUGAGCAUCGUGCUUGGUGCAGCUUUAACAACAUUGGAGUCAAGGGCGGCAAUAAGUACCAACUAGGGAAAGUAAAAUUCAUGAAUGAGCUAAAGAGGACAAACUAGGAAACCAUGGGAACUAUAAAAGAUAAAA
rnacentral:misc_RNA from 1 species